UGACAUGGAUCGGGAGUGCUCAGAGAUGGGUGUGCCUCUUUGGGGUCGGUUCACAGGUGGUGCAUGGCUGUCGUCAGCUCGUGUCGUGAGAUGUUGGGUUAAGUCCCGCAACGAGCGCAACCCUUGUUCACUGUUGCCAGCACGUUAUGGUGGGGACUCAGUGGAGACCGCCGGGGUCAACUCGGAGGAAGGUGGGGAUGACGUCAAGUCAUCAUGCCCCUUAUGUCCAGGGCUUCACGCAUGCUACAAUGGCUGGUACAGAGAGUGGCGAGCCUGUGAGGGUGAGCGAAUCUCGGAAAGCCGGUCUCAGUUCGGAUUGGGGUCUGCAACUCGACCUCAUGAAGUCGGAGUCGCUAGUAAUCGCAGAUCAGCAACGCUGCGGUGAAUACGUUCCCGGGGCUUGUACACACCGCCCGUCAAGUCAUGAAAGUUGGUAACACCCGAAGCCGGUGGCCUAACCGUUGUGGGGGAGCCGUCGAAGGUGGGACUGGUGAUUAGGACUAAGUCGUAACAAGGUAACC
rnacentral:rRNA from 1 species